rnacentral:rRNA from 1 species
UCAGGACGAACGCUGGCGGCGUGCCUAACACAUGCAAGUCGAACGGGGAUUUGUUUCGGCAGAAUCCUAGUGGCGAACGGGUGAGUAACGCGUAGGCAACCUGCCCUCCGGCCGGGGACAACACUCCGAAAGGGGUGCUAAUACCGGAUACGAAGUCUGUGCCGCAUGGUACGGAUUUGAAAGAUGGCCUCUAUUUAUAAGCUAUCGCCGGGGGAUGGGCCUGCGUCCGAUUAGCUGGUUGGUGGGGUAGCGGCCUACCAAGGCGACGAUCGGUAGCCGGUCUGAGAGGAUGAACGGCCACAUUGGGACUGAGACACGGCCCAGACUCCUACGGGAGGCAGCAGUGGGGAAUCUUCCGCAAUGGGCGCAAGCCUGACGGAGCAACGCCGCGUGAGUGAGGAAGUUCUUCGGAACGUAAAGCUCUGUUGUUCCUGACGAACCUCCCCUUUAUCAACAACGGAGGGGACUGACGGUAGGGAACGAGGAAGCCACGGCUAACUACGUGCCAGCCGCGGC